rnacentral:piRNA from 1 species
UGAAAACGUAAUGGAACACGGGGAGGUGUC